rnacentral:rRNA from 1 species
AGUGAACGCUGGCGGUAGGCCUAACACAUGCAAGUCGAACGGCAGCACAGUAAGAGCUUGCUCUUACGGGUGGCGAGUGGCGGACGGGUGAGGAAUACAUCGGAAUCUACUUUUUCAUGGGGGAUAACGUAGGGAAACUUACGCUAAUACCGCAUACGACCUACGGGUGAAAGCAGGGGAUCUUCGGACCUUGCGCGAUUGAAUGAGCCGAUGUCGGAUUAGCUAGUUGGCGGGGUAAAGGCCCACCAAGGCGACGAUCCGUAGCUGGUCUGAGAGGAUGAUCAGCCACACUGGAACUGAGACACGGUCCAGACUCCUACGGGAGGCAGCAGUGGGGAAUAUUGGACAAUGGGCGCAAGCCUGAUCCAGCCAUACCGCGUGGGUGAAGAAGGCCUUCGGGUUGUAAAGCCCUUUUGUUGGGAAAGAAAAGCAGCAGGUUAAUACCCCGCUGUUCUGACAGUACCCAAAGAAUAAGCACCGGCUAACUUCGUG